AGUAAGGAAUAUUGGUCAAUGGACGCAAGUCUGAACCAGCCAUGCCGCGUGGAGGAUGAAGGCCCUCUGGGUUGUAAACUUCUUUUAUUGGGGAAGAAAUCUGUUUUUUUGAAGGCAGUUGACGGUACUCAAUGAAUAAGCACCGGCUAACUCCGUGCCAGCAGCCGCGGUAAUACGGAGGGUGCAAGCGUUAUCCGGAUUCACUGGGUUUAAAGGGUGCGUAGGUGGGCAGGUAAGUCAGUGGUGAAAUCUCCGGGCUUAACCCGGAAACUGCCGUUGAUACUAUCUGUCUUGAAUAGAGUGGAGGUGAGCGGAAUAUGUCAUGUAGCGGUGAAAUGCUUAGAUAUGACAUAGAACAUCGAUUGCGAAGGCAGCUCGCUACGCUAUUAUUGACACUGAGGCACGAAAGCGUGGGGAUCAAA
rnacentral:rRNA from 1 species